rnacentral:rRNA from 1 species
AAACUAGAAGUUAGUACGGGGACCCGGGCCGACAACGACGGUGGAGCGAUGUGGUUUAAUUCGAUGCAACGCGAAGAACCUUACCUGGUCUUGACAUCCCGGAGACCCUUAGGAAACUAGGGGGUGCUUCCAUCUGGAAGAAUCUGGAGACAGGUGCUGCAUGGCUGUCGUCAGCUCGUGUCGUGAGAUGUUGGGUUAAGUCCCGCAACGAGCGCAACCCUUGCCCUUAGUUGCCAGCAGUUCGGCUGGGCACUCUAAAGGGACUGCCGGUGUUAAACCGGAGGAAGGUGGGGAUGACGUCAAGUCCUCAUGGCCUUUAUGACCAGGGCUACACACGUACUACAAUGGCCGAUACAAAGGGCAGCGACACUGCGAGGUGAAGCCAAUCCCGUAAAAUCGGUCUCAGUCCGGAUUGGAGUCUGCAACUCGACUCCAUGAAGUUGGAAUCGCUAGUAAUCGUGGAUCAGCAUGCCACGGUGAAUACGUUCCCGGGCCUU